rnacentral:siRNA from 1 species
ACUGGUCAGUCCGGAUUUCGC